rnacentral:rRNA from 1 species
UACAGAGGUCUCAACCGUUGUUCGGAUUCAUUGGGCGUAAAGGGUGCGUAGGCGGUCGCGCAAGUCGGAUGUGAAAUCUCAGGGCUCAACCCUGAAACUGCAUUCGAUACUGCGUGGCUAGAGUGCUGGAGGGGAGACUGGAAUUUACGGUGUAGCAGUGAAAUGCGUAGAUAUCGUAAGGAAGACCAGUGGCGAAGGCGAGUCUCUGGACAGUUCCUGACACUGAGGCACGAAGGCCAGGGGAGCAAACGGG